rnacentral:tRNA from 1 species
UGAAGAAAAUUCCGAGGGUCUUAAAAUCCCUCGGUGGCAACACCGUGCCGGUUCGAUUCCGGCCCCAGGCACCA